GAUGAAGAACGCAGCGAAAUGCGAUAAGUAAUGUGAAUUGCAGAAUUCAGUGAAUCAUCGAAUCUUUGAACGCACCUUGCACCCUUUGGCAUUCCGAAGGGUAUGCUCGUUUGAGUGUCAUUGUACUCUCACACUCCCAAUUGCUUUGGAUUGGGAGCGGUGGACUUGGGUGUUGCUGCUUGACUGAGGCUCACCUGAAAUAUGUUAGUGCACCUCUUGAUUGGACAUAGUACGGCGUGAUAAGUGUCUUCGCCGGCUCCUCGCAAAGAGGGUGGCCGAUCGGGAGCUCUGUUGCUUCAAACUGUCUUCGGACAAUCUUCUGGCGACUUGACCUCAAAUCGAGUAGGACUACCCGCUGAACUUAAGCAUAUCAAUAAGCGGAAGA
rnacentral:misc_RNA from 1 species